GACAUACAAGGGGUGUAGGUUAUCUCUUUUAUCACAUUUACUGACAUACAAGGGGUGUAGGUUAUCUCAUUUAUCACAUUUACUGACAUACAAGGGGUGUAGGUUAUCUCAUUUAUCACAUUUACUGACAUACAAGGGGUGUAGGUUAUCUCAUUUAUCACAUUUACUGACAUACAAGGGGUGUAGGUUAUCUCAUUUAUCACAUUUACUGACAUACAAGGGGUGCAGGUUAUCUCAUUUAUCACAUUUACUGACAUACAAGGGGUGUAGGUUAUCUCAUUUAUCACAUUUACUGACAUACAAGGGGUGUAGGUUAUCUCUUUUAUCACAUUUACUGACAUACAAGGGGUGUAGGUUAUCUCUUUUAUCACAUUUACUGACAUACAAGGGGUGUAGGUUAUCUCUUUUAUCACAUUUACUGACAUACAAGGGGUGUAGGUUAUCUCUUUUAUCACAUUUACUGACAUACAAGGGGUGUAGGUUAUCUCAUUUAUCACAUUUACUGACAUACAAGGGGUGUAGGUUAUCUCAUUUAUCACAUUUACUGACAUACAAGGGGUGUAGGUUAUCUCAUUUAUCACAUUUACUGACAUACAAGGGGUGUAGGUUAUCUCAUUUAUCACAUUUACUGACAUACAAGGGGUGUAGGUUAUCUCUUUUAUCACAUUUACUGAC